GAGCUGUGAUGAUUAUUGCACAAAUUGUGAAGUUGGGUCUUCACAACCGUCUGAUCUAAAUGACGAAAUUCAGUGCAUCUGAGCUC